AAACACUUGAGCCCAGGAGUUCGAGGCUACAGUGAGAUGUGAUCCAGCCACAUCUCACUGUAGCCUCGAACUCCUGGGCUCAAGUGAUUCA
rnacentral:pre_miRNA from 1 species